AGCGUACACGGUGGAUGCCCUGGCAGUCAGAGGCGAUGAAGGACGUGCUAAUCUGCGAUAAGCGUCGGUAAGGUGAUAUGAACCGUUAUAACCGGCGAUUUCCGAAUGGGGAAACCCAGUGUGUUUCGACACACUAUCAUUAACUGAAUCCAUAGGUUAAUGAGGCGAACCGGGGGAACUGAAACAUCUAAGUACCCCGAGGAAAAGAAAUCAACCGAGAUUCCCCCAGUAGCGGCGAGCGAACGGGGAGCAGCCCAGAGCCUGAAUCAGUGUGUGUGUUAGUGGAAGCGUCUGGAAAGGCGCGCGAUACAGGGUGACAGCCCCGUACACAAAAAUGCACAUGCUGUGAGCUCGAUGAGUAGGGCGGGACACGUGGUAUCCUGUCUGAAUAUGGGGGGACCAUCCUCCAAGGCUAAAUACUCCUGACUGACCGAUAGUGAACCAGUACCGUGAGGGAAAGGCGAAAAGAACCCCGGCGAGGGGAGUGAAAAAGAACCUGAAACCGUGUACGUACAAGCAGUGGGAGCACGCUUAGGCGUGUGACUGCGUACCUUUUGUAUAAUGGGUCAGCGACUUAUAUUCUGUAGCAAGGUUAACCGAAUAGGGGAGCCGAAGGGAAACCGAGUCUUAACUGGGCGUUAAGUUGCAGGGUAUAGACCCGAAACCCGGUGAUCUAGCCAUGGGCAGGUUGAAGGUUGGGUAACACUAACUGGAGGACCGAACCGACUAAUGUUGAAAAAUUAGCGGAUGACUUGUGGCUGGGGGUGAAAGGCCAAUCAAACCGGGAGAUAGCUGGUUCUCCCCGAAAGCUAUUUAGGUAGCGCCUCGUGAAUUCAUCUCCGGGGGUAGAGCACUGUUUCGGCAAGGGGGUCAUCCCGACUUACCAACCCGAUGCAAACUGCGAAUACCGGAGAAUGUUAUCACGGGAGACACACGGCGGGUGCUAACGUCCGUCGUGAAGAGGGAAACAACCCAGACCGCCAGCUAAGGUCCCAAAGUCAUGGUUAAGUGGGAAACGAUGUGGGAAGGCCCAGACAGCCAGGAUGUUGGCUUAGAAGCAGCCAUCAUUUAAAGAAAGCGUAAUAGCUCACUGGUCGAGUCGGCCUGCGCGGAAGAUGUAACGGGGCUAAACCAUGCACCGAAGCUGCGGCAGCGACGCUUAUGCGUUGUUGGGUAGGGGAGCGUUCUGUAAGCCUGUGAAGGUGUGCUGUGAGGCAUGCUGGAGGUAUCAGAAGUGCGAAUGCUGACAUAAGUAACGAUAAAGCGGGUGAAAAGCCCGCUCGCCGGAAGACCAAGGGUUCCUGUCCAACGUUAAUCGGGGCAGGGUGAGUCGACCCCUAAGGCGAGGCCGAAAGGCGUAGUCGAUGGGAAACAGGUUAAUAUUCCUGUACUUGGUGUUACUGCGAAGGGGGGACGGAGAAGGCUAUGUUGGCCGGGCGACGGUUGUCCCGGUUUAAGCGUGUAGGCUGGUUUUCCAGGCAAAUCCGGAAAAUCAAGGCUGAGGCGUGAUGACGAGGCACUACGGUGCUGAAGCAACAAAUGCCCUGCUUCCAGGAAAAGCCUCUAAGCAUCAGGUAACAUCAAAUCGUACCCCAAACCGACACAGGUGGUCAGGUAGAGAAUACCAAGGCGCUUGAGAGAACUCGGGUGAAGGAACUAGGCAAAAUGGUGCCGUAACUUCGGGAGAAGGCACGCUGAUAUGUAGGUGAAGUCCCUCGCGGAUGGAGCUGAAAUCAGUCGAAGAUACCAGCUGGCUGCAACUGUUUAUUAAAAACACAGCACUGUGCAAACACGAAAGUGGACGUAUACGGUGUGACGCCUGCCCGGUGCCGGAAGGUUAAUUGAUGGGGUCAGCGCAAGCGAAGCUCUUGAUCGAAGCCCCGGUAAACGGCGGCCGUAACUAUAACGGUCCUAAGGUAGCGAAAUUCCUUGUCGGGUAAGUUCCGACCUGCACGAAUGGCGUAAUGAUGGCCAGGCUGUCUCCACCCGAGACUCAGUGAAAUUGAACUCGCUGUGAAGAUGCAGUGUACCCGCGGCAAGACGGAAAGACCCCGUGAACCUUUACUAUAGCUUGACACUGAACAUUGAGCCUUGAUGUGUAGGAUAGGUGGGAGGCUUUGAAGUGUGGACGCCAGUCUGCAUGGAGCCGACCUUGAAAUACCACCCUUUAAUGUUUGAUGUUCUAACGUUGACCCGUGAUCCGGGUUGCGGACAGUGUCUGGUGGGUAGUUUGACUGGGGCGGUCUCCUCCUAAAGAGUAACGGAGGAGCACGAAGGUUGGCUAAUCCUGGUCGGACAUCAGGAGGUUAGUGCAAUGGCAUAAGCCAGCUUGACUGCGAGCGUGACGGCGCGAGCAGGUGCGAAAGCAGGUCAUAGUGAUCCGGUGGUUCUGAAUGGAAGGGCCAUCGCUCAACGGAUAAAAGGUACUCCGGGGAUAACAGGCUGAUACCGCCCAAGAGUUCAUAUCGACGGCGGUGUUUGGCACCUCGAUGUCGGCUCAUCACAUCCUGGGGCUGAAGUAGGUCCCAAGGGUAUGGCUGUUCGCCAUUUAAAGUGGUACGCGAGCUGGGUUUAGAACGUCGUGAGACAGUUCGGUCCCUAUCUGCCGUGGGCGCUGGAGAACUGAGGGGGGCUGCUCCUAGUACGAGAGGACCGGAGUGGACGCAUCACUGGUGUUCGGGUUGUCAUGCCAAUGGCACUGCCCGGUAGCUAAAUGCGGAAGAGAUAAGUGCUGAAAGCAUCUAAGCACGAAACUUGCCCCGAGAUGAGUUCU
rnacentral:rRNA from 1 species